rnacentral:piRNA from 1 species
UGGUUAUCAUUUGACUGCUCAUUUGGAU